GCGCCGCGCGCGCGGGAACGGGCCGCGCGCAGUGAUGACGUCACGGCAGGGGCGGGGCGCUUAAAGGGACAGGGAGGAAUGGAGUGAGGGGAGGAUCGAGAUCAGGAUCAGGAGUAGGAUUAGGACCGGGUGUGUUUAUCCAACUGUGAGGUGGACAGUGUGUCCAGAAGGAUCCUGUGAGAGACAGUAUUGAAAGCUUUGCUGAAAUCCAGAAAUAUCACUUCAUCUGGCCUCCCUUGAUCAACCAGAUGUUUUUCAAUCCCUCCCAGAAUAAUCUUCUCCAUAACUUUACCAGGCACUGAAGUGAGACUGACAGACCUGUAGUUUCCAGGGUCCCCCUUCUCGCUCUUCUUGAAAAUCGGGACAAUGUUCACCAGCUGUACUGGGUUUGCAUGUCUGGUUUGUGCAGCCACACUUACUGCCGUAAUAAAAGUUAAACUU